GACAGAGGGGGCAAGCGUUGCUCGGAAUUACUGGGCGUAAAGGGCGCGUAGGCGGGAUGGCAAGUCGGUCGUGAAAUCCCUCGGCUCAACUGAGGAUCGUCGAUCGAUACUGCCGUUCUUGAGGAUUGCAGAGGAGACUGGAAUUCCCGGUGUAGCGGUGAAAUGCGCAGAUAUCGGGAGGAACACCUAUGGCGAAGGCAGCUCGCUGGGACGUUACUGACGCUGAGACGCGAAAGCGUGGGGAGCAAACAGG
rnacentral:rRNA from 1 species